ensembl:lncRNA
GGCAUCUGAGAGGUGAGUCAUGCAUUUUAUAGACACAGAAUUGAAAGAGGAAUGACCUGUAUGAGGCCAGACAGAAUGUAGUGACUCCAUUACCAUGAGGCCGCCCAGAACAACUGGAUUUGCUGCCCAUCUUCUCAUCCCUCCGCUGGACCAGGGCUUCCCAGGUGGUUCAGUGGUAAAGAAUCCACCUGCCAAUGCAGGAGACACAGAAGACUCAGAUUCAAUUCCUGGGUCAGGAAGACCCCCUGGAGGAGGAAAUGGCAACCCACGAAUCCCAUGGACAGAGGAGCCUGGCAGGCUACAAUCCAUGGAGUCACAAAGAGUCAGACAUGACUGAGCGACUAGACACGAGCACAAAUACAAGCUGGAUUCUACGCAAGGGAAAGCUAUGCAACCAGUAAUGGACGAGAUUUAUAAGUCAGUGAAUUGUCCACACUGUCUUAGGAUAAAUGACACAAACAGGAAAUUAUUUGAGCAUGGAGUUAAAAAGUUAAGACAGUUUGUUUGGAGUGAUUUUUGAUAGAGACAAAUAUCAUCACUAGAUGCUGACACCAUUGGAUAAAGGAUGGUGGAGAAGGAUGUGCACAUGUUCUCAGAGGAUCACCUAAGGUUCUUUAUUGAUUACAAGGCUAGGGGGACUUUAUAUCAGACUGCAGUUGCCACCGUAACCAAGCGAUCAGACUUUGCAAUCCCAACAACGAGACACUGUGAGCCUCCUGACACGAUGCCUUGUAAACUACCACCCAGGUCAUAUCCUUGUCAGAAAGAUUACGCCAGAUAUACUCAAAAGGAAACAAAUUCAGACUGGGGGGCCUUCAACAAGACCACUGGCUUGGACUCUUCAAAAAUGUUCAUGUCUGGGAAUUCCCUGGUGGUCCAGUGGUCCGGACUCCAAGUUUCCACUGCUGGGGCCCAGGUUUGAUCCCUGGUUGGGGAAAUAAGAUCCUGCAAGUCACACAGUGUGCCAACAACAACAAAAAUGUCAGCAUCACAAGAGGAAAAAAAAAGACAAG